AGAGUUUGAUCCUGGCUCAGAGCGAACGCUGGCGGCAGGCUUAACACAUGCAAGUCGAGCGGGCGUAGCAAUACGUCAGCGGCAGACGGGUGAGUAACGCGUGGGAACGUACCUUUUGGUUCGGAACAACACAGGGAAACUUGUGCUAAUACCGGAUAAGCCCUUACGGGGAAAGAUUUAUCGCCGAAAGAUCGGCCCGCGUCUGAUUAGCUAGUUGGUGUGGUAACGGCGCACCAAGGCGACGAUCAGUAGCUGGUCUGAGAGGAUGAUCAGCCACAUUGGGACUGAGACACGGCCCAAACUCCUACGGGAGGCAGCAGUGGGGAAUAUUGGACAAUGGGCGCAAGCCUGAUCCAGCCAUGCCGCGUGAGUGAUGAAGGCCCUAGGGUUGUAAAGCUCUUUUGUGCGGGAAGAUAAUGACGGUACCGCAAGAAUAAGCCCCGGCUAACUUCGUGCCAGCAGCCGCGGUAAUACGAAGGGGGCUAGCGUUGCUCGGAAUCACUGGGCGUAAAGGGUGCGUAGGCGGGUCUUUAAGUCAGGGGUGAAAUCCUGGAGCUCAACUCCAGAACUGCCUUUGAUACUGAGGAUCUUGAGUUCGGGAGAGGUGAGUGGAACUGCGAGUGUAGAGGUGAAAUUCGUAGAUAUUCGCAAGAACACCAGUGGCGAAGGCGGCUCACUAGCCCGAUACUGACGCUGAGGCACGAAAGCGUGGGGAGCAAACAGGAUUAGAUACCCUGGUAGUCC
rnacentral:rRNA from 1 species